UACGUAGGUGGCAAGCGUUGUCCGGAUUUAUUGGGCGUAAAGGGAGCGCAGGCGGUGACUUAAGUCUGAUGUGAAAGCCCACGGCUCAACCGUGGAAGGUCAUUGGAAACUGGGUCACUUGAAUGGAGCAGAGGAGAACGGAAUUCCAUGUGUAGCAGUGAAAUGCGUAGAUAUAUGGAGGAACACCAGUGGCGGAGGCGGUUCUCUGGGCUCACAUUGACGCUGAGGCUCGAAAGCGUGGGGAGCGAACAGGAUUA
rnacentral:rRNA from 1 species